AAUGCACCAAUUUGUAAGUCGCUCUGGAUAGGAGCGUCUGCUAAAUGACUAAAA
rfam:Salmo salar isolate Sally breed double haploid chromosome ssa21, whole genome shotgun sequence.